GGCCAGGGAAAAGGAGAGACUAAGAGAGGAAGCAAGAAAGCAAAGGCGUUUAGAGAGUGGAUUCCGAAGCAUGCUCAAGAAUGCUGUUCCUCCAGUAGACAGCAGUUCAGAAUGGGAAAAGGUUCGGAAACAAUUUGAGAAAGAACACGCUUUUGAAAACAUAACCUUGGAAUCUGAAAGAAUAAGACUCUUCAAGGAAUACCAACAAAUCUUAGAGGUGAGUGCUCUUAGUAACCAGCAAAUCUAAGA